UAUUAGCAGUACAAGAACUGUACUAGUACAAUGAUGUACCAAAAAAUAACUUGGGACUUUGAUAAAAUGGACAAGAUUUUACUACUUGCAGUACAAUCAAUGUACUUGCUACUAUUGUUGUAAUAAAAUGUACGUUUGUGACAUGGUUGAACUAAUCUAUAAAAGGAGUCAAAUUUGUUACACUGGAUAUACUAAGGGGAAAUCGAAGAAGAAGCAGAAGAUGACACUUUGUUGGUGACUUUGGUCUCGAAAGAGUAUUGUUAAGGUCAUUGUUGAAUAGUACGAAAGAAGAAGCAUCGAUGUAUGGACACAGCAUUAGACUUUUGGAACCAAAGUCACCAACAAAGUCUCAAAUUUCUCAUCUCCAAGUCAGGUGUUUUGGAACAGCCAACAACUUUGUUUCUCAAUGAUUUCUAUUGUUAUGUUUUAAUUUGUUCCACUUGGAGAAUGUAACCAUAUAGAUGCAGAGUUAGCCCCUGCGUUUUGAUUAUUCUUUGGCGUCUCAUGUUAUUGUGAUAUUAUUCAACAACCCCUCCCCCUCCCCUUCCAUUUUUUUUCCCUUUUGACGCAUACUAGGUACUUCUUACAAUUCCUUGAGCAACAAAAAGGUUGUCUACACGAAAAUCUGCUUCGCCUUGCAAAGGGAAUAAUGAAGCAUCAUCUUUCAUUU